rnacentral:misc_RNA from 1 species
GAUGAAGAACGUAGCGAAAUGCGAUAAGUAAUGCGAAUUGCAGAAUUCCAGUGAAUCAUCGAAUCUUUGAACGCACAUUGCGCCCCUUGGUAUUCCAUGGGGCAUGCCUGUUCGAGCGUCAUUUACACCCUCAAGCUCUGCUUGGUGUUGGGCGUCUGUCCCGCCUCGUGCGCGGACUCGCCCCAAAAGCAUUGGCAGCGGUUUGCCAGCCCGUAGCGUAGCACCAUUGCGCCUACGGGCCCGGCGGACCGGCGUCCAUCAAGUUACCCACAGUUUGACCUCGGAUCAGGUAGGGAUACCCGCUGAACUUAAGCAUAUCAAUAAGCGGAGGA